rnacentral:tRNA from 1 species
UCCCUGGUGGUCCAGUGGCUAAAAUGCUGCAUUCCCAAUGCAGGGGGCCUGCAUUUGGGGCCUGGGUUCGACUCCUGGUUGGGGAA